AGUAGGGAAUCUUCCACAAUGGGUGCAAACCUGAUGGAGCAAUGCCGCGUGAGUGAAGAAGGUCUUCGGAUCGUAAAGCUCUGUUGUUAGAGAAGAACACGUGCUAGGUAACUACUAGCGCCUUGACGGUAUCUAACCAGAAAGUCACGGCUAACUACGUGCCAGCAGCCGCGGUAAUACGUAGGUGACAAGCGUUGUCCGGAUUUAUUGGGCGUAAAGGGAGCGCAGGCGGUCUGUUUAGUCUAAUGUGAAAGCCCACGGCUUAACCGUGGAACGGCAUUGGAAACUGACGGACUUGAAUGUAGAAGAGGAAAAUGGAAUUCCAAGUGUAGCGGUGGAAUGCGUAGAUAUUUGGAGGAACACCAGUGGCGAAGGCGAUUUUCUGGUCUAACAUUGACGCUGAGGCUCGAAAGCGUGGGGAGCGAACAGGAUUAGAUACCCUGGUAGUCCACGCCGUAAACGAUGAGUGCUAAGUGUUGGGGGCUUUCCGGCCCUCGGUGCUGGAGCUAACGUAUUAAGCACUCCGCCUGGGGAUUACGACCGCAAGGUUGAAACUCAAAAGAAUUGACGGGGACCCGCACAAGCGGUGGAGCAUGUGGUUUAAUUCGAAGCAACGCGAAGAACCUUACCAGCUCUUGACAUCUUCUGACAACUCUAGAGAUAGAGUGUUCCCUUCGGGGACAGAAUGACAGGUGGUGCAUGGUUGUCGUCAGCUCGUGUCGUGAGAUGUUGGGUUAAGUCCCGUAACGAGCGCAACCCUUGUUGUUAGUUGCCAGCAUUAAGUUGGGCACUUUAACGAGACUGCCGGUGAUAAACCGGAGGAAGGCGGGGAUGACGUCAAAUCAUCAUGCCCCUUAUGAGCUGGGCUACACACGUGCUACAAUGGAUGGUACAACGAGCAGCGAUCCCGCAAGGGCUAGCUAAUCUUUCAAAGCCAUUCUCAGUUCGGAUUGCACUCUGCAACUCGAGUGCAUGAAGUCGGAAUCGCUAGUAAUCGCGAAUCAGAAUGUCGCGGUGAAUCCGUUCCCGGGUCUUGUACACACCGCCCGUCACACCACGAGAGUUUGAAACACCCGAAGUCGGCCGGCCAACCCUAUGGGAGGCAGCCGUCGAAGGUGGGUUGAAUGAUUGGGGUG
rnacentral:rRNA from 1 species